AGUGAACGCUGGCGGUAGGCCUAACACAUGCAAGUCGAACGGCAGCACAGUAAGAGCUUGCUCCUACGGGUGGCGAGUGGCGGACGGGUGAGGAAUACAUCGGAAUCUUCUUUUUCGUGGGUGAUAACGUAGGGAAACUUAUGCUAAUACCGCAUAUGACCUACGGGUGAAAGCAGUGGAUCUUCGGACCUUUGGUGACUGAAUGAGCCGAUGUCGGAUUAGCUAGUUGGCGGGGUAAAGGCCCACCAAGGCAACGAUCCGUAGCUGGUCUGAGAGGAUGAUCAGCCACACUGGAACUGAGACACGGUCCAGACUCCUACGGGAGGCAGCAGUGGGGAAUAUUGGACAAUGGGCGCAAGCCUGAUCCAGCCAUACCGCGUGGGUGAAGAAGGCCUUCGGGUUGUAAAGCCCUUUUGUUGGGAAAGAAAAGCAGCAGGUUAAUACCCCGCUGUUCUGACGGUACCCAAAGAAUAAGCAACGGCUAACUUCGUG
rnacentral:rRNA from 1 species